UGUUGUACUUUUUUUUUUGUUC
rnacentral:miRNA from 11 species